UACAGAGGUCUCAAGCGUUGUUCGGAAUCACUGGGCGUAAAGGGUGCGUAGGCCGCACGGUAAGUCAGAGGUGAAAUCCCGGAGCUCAACUCCGGAAUGGCCUCCGAUACUGGUUGGCUUGAAUCCGGGAGAGGGAUGUGGAAUUCCAGGUGUAGCGGUGAAAUGCGUAGAUAUCUGGAGGAACACCGGUGGCGAAGGCGACAUCCUGGACCGGCAUUGACGCUGAGGCGCGAAAGCCAGGGGAGCAAACGGG
rnacentral:rRNA from 1 species